AUUGGAACUGGAGAAACUGUUAGUGAACAGCAUGGAUCCUGGCCAGACUGCGCGGAUGCGCAGGCUGGUCUGGAUCCAUGCUGGUCGCAUACCCACUAUGUUGGUUUUCCCAUGGCACGGUUUUAUUUUAAAAGCCUGUUUCUAAACCAGUAGCAGGCGUUUUGGUCACAGUUACAUAAUUUAACAUUUAACUUAUUAUAUAAUAAUAUUUGAUUAAUGAAUAGCAGCUAAGAUAUUUAUACUUGAGAUCAGAAUAUAAUGUAAAUCUUGGAUCAAAUGUGAAAAUAUAUGCUUUAAGAUCAAUCCUACACUUAUUGAUGUUUUUACAUAAUUUUUCAAUAAUAACAUCUUCACUAAUGACUACACAUGUACACGAGGAAGGAACGAUGAACAUUGAUAUGAUAUAAUCCAAAGAAGUUAUACAUGAAUAUUUUUAUUUUCAUUCAGUGCCUGAUGCGGGGCAUUUUACAUGAGUAAACAGAUUUUACUUACUUUAUGAGAUUGUAUUGUUUUAGAAGUAGCACUUUUUAUGCCCAUUUUGGAAAAAUACUUUUCAUGUUUUAUAAUGAAAUCUCAAUGUUGUUAUAUUUUCUGGUCCUUCGGGAUCAUUGAUUUCAACUCAUUUAGAUUUGAAGAUUGAAUACUGCUUAAACCGGUGCAAGGGGGCGUGGGCAGUGUUGCAUUUUCCAUUACUGCUCAUGAACAGGCUCAACCAAACAGAGUCUGCAAUUUUCACUGUUUGUCUUGUUCUUGGUGCUUCCGAGGGAUCUACUUUCCAGAUUUUAUUUAUAUUAUAGCAUUGUCGGUCUGUAAACCUUUUUAUUUCCAGACUACCUGUAUUUAGUCAGGAUGUAUCAUACAUUCAUUGCUAUGGCUUUCAUAUUUUAAGCAUUAGCUAACAACCACUAAGAAAAGUUCCCUAUUGACUAAGGAUCAAAUGUCAAGGUCACAGAGACCCAAUCUUUCUUGUUUGUUGAUGUUUUUCUAACAUAUUUUUUCUAUGUAAGUUAAAAAUAUAAUACUGAAAAAAUAUGAUAAAUUAAGUAUUUAUCAACAUUAGGAGCUUUGAAAAAAUGAGGAUAGAUAAUCUAGACAAGUCAUGUGAUUUUAUUUUUUCCCCAUAAGUUUGAAAUUGGCAUCUUUUCUAGCAUUUUUAUAAUAAGCUAAAAUUACUGCCUUGGCCUAUUCCACGUGCAAACAAGCAUGGUUGUUACGUGGCAUUUUUGUUAUAGCUGUAAUACAUAUUGCAUUUUGAUAAGACCAUUCUUUUUAUAUACUGUAACUAAUUAUUAAUGAUGCGCAACCAACCCACUUAGCUCAACAGGGAGAGUGCAGAUCUGCACAUCAUGGGAUUGCAAGUUUGAUCCAUUGAUUGAGACAUAUUCUUCAUGACAAAAGACAUUGUGUCUGAUAUCAGUUUGUCCUCCACCUCUGAUUCUUGAGGAGAAAUUGGCAGUUACUUGCUAGAUUAGUACUGAAAUAGAACCCAGGAACUCUGGUUAGGUUAACUGCCCGCUGUUACAUUACUAAAAUAUUGUUGAAAAAUGGUGCUAAACCAUAAAUAAACAAACAAACAAACAAAUUAAUGAUGUUUUUUGUUAAAUUGGUUGUAGUUUUUAUGCUUACUACUUUUUUAGGAUAAAAGGAAAUUUAGGACUUUCAUAAAUAUGUUUGUCAUAUUAUGUUGUUUGAAUAUAUUUCUGUAUAAUUGACUAGCGAAAUUCAGAUGAAAUAUACAGAAUUGUUCAGUAUUUUUAUCCUGCAGUCCCACACACAACCCUACUCCUCCUCACACUUGUAAAUCAAAUAAAUUGUUAGCUGCCCUGUCCCAGUCUGCUUGAGCAUGGGCAUAUUAUUCCCAGUUAUGCAGAGCUCUUGUUAUUGUUGUUAAUAUUGUCAUGUGUAGAUAAAUUAAAAAAAGUUUCUGUUUUAUAGAAAAAGCUUCAUUGUAUCUUGCAGAUGAUAAUGGUGUUUGGGAUUUAUUUUCUGGGUUUGUAUGGAGGGUUAGGGUUUUUUUAACUUUCUGGAUUACAGUAUAAUGUGACAUUAUUGGAACCAUUUUUUACCUAAAGGACAUGACAAAGUAUAUUUUAUAGAGUUCAUGUAUCAUGUAAAAUGCUGAAAGUGUCUUAAACAUUGUGAUAGAGAAAAACAAGUGUGACAACUCCUGCCUUAUCAAUAGACAUAUUUUAGUACAGUUAUUAUAGUGAUAGUACCUAGUAUAUAGUGAUAGUUUAUAGUUUAUUGUUGUUAACAUUUUGUCUUUUGGCAAGUAUGACACAAAUUUUUACCUGUUGAUUUAUUAACUUUGUUUUUUGCUGUAAAAUAACACACAAAUAUUGUAUAACAGUAAUAUUUUUACAGUUAAUGUGUUUAUGAUAGGACCAAAAUAUAUUUUCUGUAUUUGAAUAUUAGAAUCUAUAUAUACCAUCAGAUUAUGCAUGUUUACUGGUGUUAAGAAAAUACAGAUUCCAAAUUAGAAGAUGAAAAAUAAUAAAUCAACUCAACAUAUUUUAUUACUGUUCUGUUACCUAUAGUACUUAAUCUGACUGCCAUGUUUUUCUGCAUUUUUUUGUGUGUAAAAUAGCCUAAUGUUGAGGGUGUUAUAAAGUUUAUUAUGUGAGCUGUAUUGUACAAAAUCCAUGUUAUUUUAGUCAGUUAUACGUCCAUAUUAUAUAUGUGUUUUCUGAAAUUAUUCAAAAAAUUAUUCCAGUAUCGUAUUUCAUUGAUUUAUUUCAUUAUUUUUAUGCCUCAGUUCUAUCAUUUAUUCAUGUACAAGAUGGAAAGGUGUUAAUGUUCUCUAUAUAAAUGUAUGUUAAUUAACAUUCUGUCUUAGUCUAUUAAUUGGAUAUAUAAUAUACAUCAGGAACAUUGAACUAGCUUGAUUGCUGAAUGUCAUUGCUAACACCAGCUUCAUACUGUUAAAGGGUCAUGCAUCUUGAUGAACAUGAAAAUGUUGUUUAUGAUAUAGAUAUCAGGUACUCAAUUUUAAGUUGAUAUAAGAUACAACUGAAUUAGGUCUUUCUGAGGUCAUUUUUCUUCUGUUUGACUGCUACAGUAUACUUUAGAUAAAUACAAAUUAUAGACUGUAAAAUUUAGUGUUUUUGUGUCUCCCAAAAUUUGGGGGAUGGUGGGUGUCACUUGUCUUGUCUUGAUUUGAUCUUGUCUGUCCAUCUGUCUGUUUAAAAUCUCAAAAAGUAUUUGACCAUGUGAAGUUGUGUGCCUGAUGUUUUAAUUGGGAUUUCACACAGCCAAACCAGAGUUAUGGUCCUUGACUUAGUCAAAAACAUGUAUACAAUGACAGGAGUAGGGGCACCACUGUCCUAUGGACACACAUCUGAUUAUAGAUGCUUUAAAGCAUAGCUGUUGUGUAAUUAUGUCAGGUGCUUUCUUAGAGGGAAAAUGUUUUACCUAAGAGUGAUAUUAUGCAAUAUUUUUACCUUUUAUUGAUAUUGACAAAAUUAUGUGCCUCAUGCAUAUAUAUAGAUUACUAAUUAAGUUCUCAUGAAAAUUAGGGGAUUGUGUAAACUCUUUGUUAUAUUAAAUGGUAUAAAUCAUGUUACAGAUACAAAACAUUUACAGUGGAACCCCUCUAAACGGAACAGCUUCCGGGCCAGGGUAAAAGUUCUAUUUGGAGGCUUUUUGGUUCAGAGGGGUUUAGUCAGUGGAAUGUGUGGUACACUACAUAAAUAAAUACACAGUUUGCAAGAAACCAGAUUUAUUUCUAAUCCUCUUUGUGUUUAGUUACUAUAUAAAAACAACACCAUAAAAAGAUGAGAGGGAUAUAUGCUACCAAAUAGGGUAAAUUCUUGUAUUCAUAAUAAAAGACAUGACAAAAUUCUGAUUGCCUUUAGAAUUAUUCAGUUUUCAGCAGGACUUUUGUUGAUAAAGACAAGUUCAGUCUGCAAAAAUUGUUGUUUCCAAAUUUUUCAAGUGUAUUUUCCUAAUGAAAUAAGAAGACAGAUUUCAGGACCACAAAAUUUGUUCAGUUGUAGGGUUUUCGGUGUUCAGUGAUUCUAGUUUUGAGAAGUUCCACUGCACAUAGUUUAUGUCUUAUUGUCAAUCAUUCCUUACAGUUAAUAUUUGCACUACAUUAAAUACAAAGGUAGUGUUGUCUUUAAUCUAGUCAUGACUCUUUUUGGCUUGAUGUAGACUUAGUUUAUUUUUGUUUUGAUUGUACAAAAUUGUAGUAAUUUAACUUAGUUAUAACAAAAACACCAGUCGGGAUAAAACUCAAGUACAUUUAUACUUAAUUGUUUUCAUAGUAUGGAUGAAUUUCUUGACACUGUUUAAUUCUGAAAUGCCAUCCAUUUGUCUGGUGUUCAGUUAUGGUGAAGGGUAAACAUUUUGAACAUUAUACCUUUUUUUUAGAGCUUUAUUUUAUGGGUAUAUUAGACCUAAAUUUCAUAUUUCAAAAUGUGAACAAUUUCUGCAUAUAUUAUCAGCAAGUUUAUGUGUAUUAACAGUACUAUGUGUUUAAAAUAGUACACAGUACACAUGUAUAAAAUUGAACACAGUAUAAAUGUUACUGCAUGACUUUUAAAAGUAAAUAUCUAAAGAUUAAAUAUUUCAGUGAAAGAUGGACAGUGGAUAUUUUAAUGUUAAUUUUCAUUGAAAAGAUCAUGUACUUAAGGAGGUAGGUUACCUUGUUACCAGGUUAAAUUCAAAUUAGUUGAACCGCAGCAAUUUUUUGUAUUUUGUGUAAUAUGAUGUUUUAACAGCUACAAUCUCAAUUUCGUUUUUCUCUGGCCCUUCAAGUUCAAUUUUUAUCCAGGUUUAAAGAACAUGACCCUCCAAAGGUAUUUUAUAUUGAAAGAAGAAGGAAAAUACGGAUAUUUAACACUUUUCAGUGUAUUUUAGUUUCACUGAUAUCCGUAGAAGUCUGCAUAAUUGAUAAUUUUACUAGUAUGCGCGUUAGCUUUCUAAUAUAAGCUUAAAAAGUAUAUGUCGCGGGGCUCGUGUUUCCUUGGUAACGCAUUUUCGCUCAUUUUUAAACAACUAUGUAUAAAAACGGGGUUUUCGACGGCUUCAGUGCCAUUCUGUUAAUAACCAACAUGGAAUAUUUCGGUAAUAUUAUUAGCAAAAUACCAAGCACUUUACAUGGUACCCUAUUUUACUUAAAGUUUAAAGUAACCAUGGCAACAGAGAUGUUUAAAAUAGCUUAUAUCUUGCUUUUUGUCGCAAUUUCUUAUAAAAAAUAUUGAAUAAAAUUAUCUUUCUUGCUAAUGUAGCUUCAAAACAUAUUAUUUCAAACGUAAGUUAUAUUUUCAUGUUAUUUGUAUUUAUUCAAACAAAUUUCACAGCUUAAAAUACUUACAGCAGUACCCUUCGUCUUGCAUUUUUCAUGGAAAAAUCGUUCAGCAUGUGCUAUUAUUCUCAUGGAUGUUGUUGAAAUGAAAAUAAAAAGCCGAAGCUGUGUUCUUUAAAUAGACCAGUGUCAACGCUUUUGAAUUUUACAUUUAGAUAUAUAGGUCACGGGCUUCGUUUCCAAGGUAACAUCAAUUCAAUUCAAGAAAUCACAAUUUUCUACUGAAAGUUGAACAAUUUUAGAGCUUCGUUUUAGUAUAUAACUAACAAAUUAUCAACGAAAACUGAAAAAUAGGUAUUGCAAAUCAAACUGCAAGUUUUUUAUUUAAUGAUGGCCGUAACAAGUAAACUUUCACCCUAUUAUAUUCCAAAUAACAUCGGUUACCAUCAUCCAUUUUCUUACAUUCCGCAUAAAAUUUCAAUAUAACUACAUAGAAGAAGCAAAAUAUUGAUUGUUAUUCAGAGGAAAAGACUCAUAAAUAAUAUUUCAGCAAAUAAUAGCUGUUUGAAAAAAGUUCAAAUAAAGAAAAUGCACAGAAUUACGUACUUUCAAAAUAAAAGCUAUUAAUUUUGCGCGGUAACUGACACGUAACGUCAUGACGUCAAUGACGUCAUUUUAAUACAACAUUGUUUUGAAGCGUUUCUGCGGCAAUUUAUUCAUUAUUUCUGCAUUAUUAAACCAUAAAGCAUCAGAUCGGAGACAGGUUCAUGAUUUGUUUUCAGAAGAAUGGACAUAUAAACACAUUUAGUUUGUCGUAAACGUCGUCGUAAAUCGUCACGUUAGCUUCCGGUUGGACAUGCGCACUUACAAAUAUGAAGGUAACCUACCUCCUUAAGGAUGCUGUUGAAGUGUUUGCUGUAAAUGUGAAAUGUUUGUAUAGAAUUGGCAUUUCUAAUAUAUCUCUAGGUAUUUAAGUGAUUAUAACAUAAUAUUUCAAAGUUUAUGUUUAGUUUAAGUUUAUAUUAACUGACUGCUGUACAUUAUGAUAAUACUAUAAACAUGUAACAAGUGUUAGUCAGACUCAGCUUUAAGGGGUGUGCCUGCAGACUGGUGUAAAGGAUUGAUGUAACAAAGCAGGAAUUUGAAUAUAUUUUAUUUCACACAAGUAAAUUAUUGACUGGAAUGAUAUAGAUCUAUGUUCAGACUAUUCCAGUUAUUUUAAAAAGUAUGAUAUUGAUGUUAAUCUGGAAGCAAGUCCUUUUUACAUGUAACUAUUUUUAUUAUGUACACAAAUUAAAAAAUCUAUGUUAAUUGCAUGUUGAAGUUUUAGAUGUAUUUUAUAUUGUAAUAAAUGGAGGAAGUCUGA